GGGGUCGUAGUUUAGCCUGGAAGAACGCUGGCCUCGGGCGCCAGUAACCUGGGUUCAAAUCCCAGCGGCCCCA
rnacentral:tRNA from 1 species